rnacentral:rRNA from 1 species
AUACAGAGGGUGCUAGCGUUAAUCGGAUUUACUGGGCGUAAAGCGUGUGUAGGUGGUUGUUCAAGUCAGUUGUGAAAUCCCUUGGGCUUAACCUGGGAACUGCUUCUGAGACUGAACGACUAGAGUACGGUAGAGGGUGGUGGAAUUUCCGGUGUAGCGGUGAAAUGCGUAGAUAUCGGAAGGAACAUCAAUGGCGAAGGCAGCCACCUGGGCCUGUACUGACACUGAGACACGAAAGCGUGGGGAUC